CAAGGCGAGGGGCAGCACAGGAAGCAACACCGGGGGGCGACCGGCGCACGGGAGAGAAACGCACAAGCAACACACCAAACAGAGGGGGACAACCCGGCGAAAGACGGACAAACACCGCAAGAAGCAGGGGCCCCGCAUGGGGAUAUUUGCUAAAGAUUCAUCGCUGAUAGAUAGGCAUGCGUUCCAUUAGGCAGUUGGCGGGGUAACGGCCCACCAAACCGACGAUGGAUAGGGGUUCUGAGAGGAAGGUCCCCCACAUUGGUACUGAGACACGGACCAAACUCCUACGGGAGGCAGCAGUGAGGAAUAUUUGUCAAUGGGCGUAAGCCUGAACCAGCCAAGUCGCGUGAGGGAUGAAGGUUCUAUGGAUCGUAAACCUCUUUUAUAAGGGAAUAAAGUGCGGGACGUGUCCCGUUUUGUAUGUACCUUAUGAAUAAGGAUCGGCUAACUCCGUGCCAGCAGCCGCGGUAAUACGGAGGAUCCGAGCGUUAUCCGGAUUUAUUGGGUUUAAAGGGUGCGUAGGCGGCCUUUUAAGUCAGCGGUGAAAGUCUGUGGCUCAACCAUAGAAUUGCCGUUGAAACUGGGAGGCUUGAGUAUGUUUGAGGCAGGCGGAAUGCGUGGUGUAGCGGUGAAAUGCUUAGAUAUCACGCAGAACCCCGAUUGCGAAGGCAGCCUGCCAAGCCAUGACUGACGCUGAUGCACGAAAGCGUGGGGAUCGAACAGGAUUAGAUACCCUGGUAGUCCACGCAGUAAACGAUGAUCACUAGCUGUUUGCGAUACAGUGUAAGCGGCACAGCGAAAGCGUUAAGUGAUCCACCUGGGGAGUACGCCGGCAACGGUGAAACUCAAAGGAAUUGACGGGGGCCCGCACAAGCGGAGGAACAUGUGGUUUAAUUCGAUGAUACGCGAGGAACCUUACCCGGGUUUGAACGCAUUCGGACCGAGGUGGAAACACCUUUUCUAGCAAUAGCCGUUUGCGAGGUGCUGCAUGGUUGUCGUCAGCUCGUGCCGUGAGGUGUCGGCUUAAGUGCCAUAACGAGCGCAACCCUUGCCACUAGUUACUAACAGGUGAUGCUGAGGACUCUGGUGGGACUGCCAGCGUAAGCUGCGAGGAAGGCGGGGAUGACGUCAAAUCAGCACGGCCCUUACAUCCGGGGCGACACACGUGUUACAAUGGCGUGGACAAAGGGAUGCCACCUGGCGACAGGGAGCGAAUCCCCAAACCACGUCUCAGUUCGGAUCGGAGUCUGCAACCCGACUCCGUGAAGCUGGAUUCGCUAGUAAUCGCGCAUCAGCCAUGGCGCGGUGAAUACGUUCCCGGGCCUUGCACA
rnacentral:rRNA from 1 species